UACGAAGGGGGCUAGCGUUGUUCGGAAUUACUGGGCGUAAAGCGCACGUAGGCGGACAUUUAAGUCAGGGGUGAAAUCCCGGAGCUCAACUCCGGAACUGCCUUUGAUACUGGGUGUCUUGAGUGUGGAAGAGGUGGGUGGAAUUCCGAGUGUAGAGGUGAAAUUCGUAGAUAUUCGGAGGAACACCAGUGGCGAAGGCGGCUCACUGGUCCAUUACUGACGCUGAGGUGCGAAAGCGUGGGGAGCAAACAGG
rnacentral:rRNA from 1 species